AUUGAACGCUGGCGGCAUGCUUUACACAUGCAAGUCGAACGGUAACAGGCCUUCUGGUACUUACGAGUGGCGAACGGGUGAGUAAUGCAUCGGAACGUGCCCAGAGUUGGGUGAUAACGCAGCUAGAGCUGUGCUAAUACCGCAUGUGAUCUGAGGAUGAAAGCGGGGGACCAACCAGCAAUGUUUGGCCUCUCGCCUCUGGAGCGGCCGAUGUCAGAUUAGGUAGUUGGUGGGGUAAAGGCCUACCAAGCCGACGAUCUGUAGCUGGUCUGAGAGGACGACCAGACACACUGGGACUGAGACACGGCCCAGACUCCUACGGGAGGCAGCAGUGGGGAAUUCUGGACAAUGGGCGCAAGCCUGAUCCAGCAAUGCCGCGUGCGGGAAGAAGGCCUUCGGGUUGUAAACCGCUUUUGUACGGAAAGAAAAGGCUCUGGCUAAUACAUGGGGCUGAUGACGGUACCGGAAGAAUAAGCACCGGCUAACUACGUG
rnacentral:rRNA from 1 species